AACCGAAUAGGGAAGCCGUAGCGAAAGCGAGUCCGAAUAGGGCGAUUCAGUCGCUGGGUGUAGACCCGAAACCAGAUGAUCUAUCCAUGGCCAGGUUGAAGGCACGGUAACACGUGCUGGAGGACCGAACCCACUAAUGUUGAAAAAUUAGGGGAUGAGCUGUGGAUAGGGGUGAAAGGCUAAACAAAUCUGGAAAUAGCUGGUUCUCUCCGAAAACUAUUUAGGUAGUGCCUCAAGUAUUACUGCGGGGGGUAGAGCACUGUUAUAGCUAGGGGGUCAUGGCGACUUACCAAACUAUGGCAAACUCCGAAUACCCGCAAGUACAGCUUGGGAGACAGAGCACCGGGUGCUAACGUCCGGACUCAAGAGGGAAACAACCCAGACCGCCAGCUAAGGUCCCAAAGUCAUGGUUAAGUGGGAAACGAUGUGGGAAGGCAUAGACAGCCAGGA
rnacentral:ncRNA from 1 species